rnacentral:rRNA from 1 species
GAUGAACGCUAGCGAUAGGCUUAACACAUGCAAGUCGAGGGGCAGCAUGGUCUUAGCUUGCUAAGGCUGAUGGCGACCGGCGCACGGGUGCGUAACGCGUAUGCAACUUGCCUCACAGAGGGGGAUAACCCGUCGAAAGACGGACUAAUACCGCGUACACUCUAUGUUGGGCAUCCAAUGUAGAGGAAAUGAAAUUCGCUGUGAGAUAGGCAUGCGUCCCAUUAGCUAGUUGGUGAGGUAACGGCUCACCAAGGCGACGAUGGGUAGGGGAACUGAGAGGUUGAACCCCCACACUGGUACUGAGACACGGACCAGACUCCUACGGGAGGCAGCAGUGAGGAAUAGUGGGCAAUGGGCGAGAGCCUGAACCAGCCAAGUCGCGUGAAGGAUGACUGUCUUAUGGAUUGUAAACUUCUUUUAUACGGGAAUAACAAGAGUCACGUGUGGCUCCCUGCAUGUACCGUAUGAAUAAGCAUCGGCUAACUCCGUG